rnacentral:rRNA from 1 species
AUAUUGGGCAAUGGAUGAGAGUCUGACCCAGCCAUGCCGCGUGCCGGAUGAAGGCCCUCAGGGUUGUAAACGGCUUUUAUCCGGGAAGAAGAGCAGGGAUGCGUCCCUGUGUGACGGUACCGGAUGAAUAAGCACCGGCUAACUCCGUGCCAGCAGCCGCGGUAAUACGGAGGGUGCAAGCGUUGUCCGGAUUUAUUGGGUUUAAAGGGUGCGUAGGUGGCCUGUUAAGUCAGUGGUGAAAGACAGCCGCUCAACGGUUGAGGUGCCAUUGAUACUGACGGGCUUGAAGCAGACAGAGGCUGCCGGAAUGGAUGGUGUAGCGGUGAAAUGCAUAGAUAUCAUCCAGAACACCGAUUGCGAAGGCAGGUGGCUAUGUCUGACUUGACACUGAGGCACGAAAGCAUGGGGAGCAAACAGG